GACGAACGCUGGCGGCGCGCCUAACACAUGCAAGUCGAACGGAGCUGAGAGAAGCUUGCUUUUCUUAGCUUAGUGGCGAACGGGUGAGUAACGCGUGAGUAACCUGCCCUGGAGUGGGGGACAACAGUUGGAAACGACUGCUAAUACCGCAUAAGCCCACGAUCCGGCAUCGGAUUGAGGGAAAAGGAUUUAUUCGCUUCAGGAUGGACUCGCGUCCAAUUAGCUAGUUGGUGAGGUAACGGCCCACCAAGGCGACGAUUGGUAGCCGGACUGAGAGGUUGAACGGCCACAUUGGGACUGAGACACGGCCCAGACUCCUACGAGAGGCAGCAGUGGGGGAUAUUGCACAAUGGGGGAAACCCUGAUGCAGCGACGCCGCGUGGAGGAAGAAGGUUUUCGGAUUGUAAACUCCUGUCGUUAGGGACGAUAAUGACGGUACCUAACAAGAAAGCACCGGCUAACUACGUG
rnacentral:rRNA from 1 species